rnacentral:lncRNA from 1 species
UUGAAUUGGGGGUUGAGAUUGAGUUAGAGGAUGGGAUCAGCCAUUAGAGAUGGGAAGGGGAGUGAGCUUCAUAAAAUAAGCAGCUAUGGAGGAUUAACAUUGUGAUGGGGUUUCAUUUAUUUUUUUAUUUUUUUAUUUUUAUAUAUUUUUAUAUAUCAUCUACAUUUAUUUGUCAUACUAGCUUUCCACGUCCACUAGCUUUCCACGUCAUCUAUUUUUGCCCCGUUUCCAUAUCAUAUUAUUUUUUAUUGUUCAUGUCAUCAACGAAGUUGGCGAAAUUUGAAAGAUGCCAAAAAAAGUAUUUUGAAUAGAUUGUGCUAAUUUUUAGGAAAGGUGGAUAGGUUGGGCUUACUUAGUCUAUUAUUAUUAUUUUUAUCAUAGAUAGCUCCGAACGAGAGAGAUAGAGAUAGCAAGCAAGCAAAUAUA